rnacentral:rRNA from 1 species
GACGGAGGAUGCAAGUGUUAUCCGGAAUCACUGGGCGUAAAGCGUCUGUAGGUGGUUUAAAAAAGUCUAUUGUUAAAAAAUUGAAGCUUAACUUCAAAGAUGCAAUGGAAACUUUUAAACUUGAGUAUGGUAGGGGUAGAGGGAAUUUCCAGUGGAGCGGUGAAAUGCGUAGAUAUUGGAAAGACCACCAAUGGCGAAGGCACUCUACUGGGCCAUUACUGACACUGAGAGACGAAAGCUAGGGGAGCAAAUGGG